CUUUUAUAAGCUCGCCGUUUCUCAACCAAUCACUCCAGUCCAGCCGAUUCUUCAUCAAAAAAAUUUGUUCAAACUUUUUAUAAUUUUUUUUUUCUCUAUUCAAACCCUAAAAGUUGUUUAAAGCUUCGAAGCUUUGGUUUUUUUUUUUUUUUUUUUUCCUAUGUGAAUCUCGGUGCUUGCUUGAAAUUUCGAAUUCUUUGACCGUUGUCGUUUAACCGAUCUCUAAUCAGAGUUACAGAGGAUUUAAUGAAGUGCGUUUGUUUGUAAAGGCUUUUAUCUUGAAGACAUCGGGAUGUGCAAGCUCUCUUCAGGAUUGGAUGAGGGUUUUGCACUAACUCAAUCUAUUACAUUUCUCAUUAUUAGCCUUUUUGAAUCUGGUUGAUGAGAAUAGUUCAGAUGAAUAAUAAUGGUCCCAGGACCGAAGGGCUGAUGAAAAUAACACACCAUCUACAAGAUGAGCACAAGGAAAUAAAGAAUGGGAGGAUUGUAGGUGAGGGCCAAGGUCUAUCAGAAGAGAAUGAGUCGCGGAUUAAUGAGGAUGCAGAGGAUGUUGAUGAUGGGCAGAUGGAAGCAGUCCAAGACAAGGUGCAAACCCAGGUUGUCAUGCAGAGCUCACAGCAACAGCACCAAAGGCCUCUGGUUCGCUGGGAGAGGUUUCUGCCUCUUAGGUCUCUUAAGGUUCUACUGGUGGAAAAUGAUGAUUCAACUCGGCAUGUUGUCAGCGCAUUGCUUCGAAAUUGUGGCUAUGAAGUUACAGCAGCAGAAAAUGGUCUACAAGCUUGGAAGAUCAUAGAAGAUUAUACCACUCAUGUUGAUCUAGUUUUGACUGAGGUAGUCAUGCCUUGUUUAUCAGGCAUUGGCCUUUUAAGCAAGAUAAUGAGCCACAAAACUUGCAAGAAUAUUCCUGUGAUUAUGAUGUCAUCUUACGAUUCCAUGAAUAUAGUCUUUAAAUGUCUGUCAAAGGGUGCGGUUGACUUUUUAGCAAAGCCGAUUCGAAAGAAUGAGCUAAAAAAUCUUUGGCAGCAUGUUUGGAGGAAAUGUCACAGCGUGAGUUGCCAUGGUUAUUUCCAUUUUAUCUAUGAAACUAUAUGAUGGACCAAUUGUUCACUUAUACUUCAGUGGCAGUGCUAGUGGAAGCGAAAGUGCUGUACAUAUACGAACUUCCACAAAGUUGAAAAGUGGUGAUGAGUUAGACAACAACACCGGCAGUAAUGAUGAAGAUGAUAAUAGGAGCAUUGGUUUGAAUCUUAGGGAUGGGAGUGAUGAUGGAAGUGGUACUCAGAGCUCUUGGACAAAAAGGGCAGUAGAAGUUGACAGCCCCCAACCAAUGUCACCAUGGGAACAGUUAGCCGAUGCUCCUGAUAGCACUUGUGCCCGGGUUAUUCAUUCAAGGCCAGAGGCAUUUGGCAACAACUGGGUGCCUGUGGAGCAUGAAGAGCAUGAUUAUGAGUUUGACUUGAAGAUCGGAGAACCAAGAAUUCCAAAUUUGCAGCUGGAAGACCCAAGUGCCAAGGGGUUGGCUAACUUAGCUGGCACUAAUGAAGACAAAAUUUCUGAAAUAGAUUCAAGGAAAGAUGAUGAGAAUCUGCUGAAAGGACAAGCGGAGCUCCACAGUGAGAAACUAAAUGGCGAAUUGGAGGACAAAGCCUCUGAUCUAAUGGGUCUAACCACUAAAAGGACUGAUCCUGAGAUGGAAAGUGUGGUCUUUAACGUCCCAAAUGGUACCUCCAAGGUAUCCAACAUGAAAGAUAAGGCCAUCUUUGACAUUAAGGAAACAUCUUCCCUUGACCUUUGUUUAAAGAGGCUGAAAGAUGUUGGAGAUACUGGCAACAGUGCUCCUGACCGAAAUGUUUUGAGACAUUCAGACCUUUCAGCCUUCUCAAGGUACACCUCUGCAACUACUAAUCACGCUCCAACGGGGAAUGUUGGUAGCUGUCCUCUUGGUAAGAGCUCAGAGGCAGCUAAAACUGAAUCAAAGCAAAAUUUUCAAUCUAGCUCAAAUAAUACACAACCCAAUCAAUGUUCCAAUGGCAGUAGUAACAACAAUGACAUGGGCUCCACUACUAAUAAUGUUUCCACCAAGCAACUGCCAUUUGAUGACAAGUCACUACCCAAAUCUGCGGUCAAAUGUCUCCAUCCCUCCUCUGCCUUCCAACCAGUGCAAAAUAGCCAUAUUCCUCACCCUCAGUCAAGAAUACAAGAUAAGAAAGAUGCUGCAAUGACUAACAUGAUUUUGGCACAAACAAGGGGUCUCAACCAGCAGGUCCAAGUGCAGCACCACCAUCAUCAUUACCACCAUCACCACCACCAUGUGCACAGCAUGGCCCAGCAGGAGCUGGAUAACCACGAUGAUCUGUCUAUGAAAAACAAUGCAGAUGCAGCUCCUCAAUGUGGAUCAUCAAAUUUGUUAAGUGUGUCCCUUGAAGGAAAUGCUGGCAGUCCCAGUUUGAAUGGAAGUGCCUCAGGAAGCAACCAUGGGAGCAAUGGGCAGAAUGGAAGCAACCAUGGGAGCAAUGGGCAGAAUGGAAGCACUGCCACUUUAAAUGCUUCAGGAACAAAUAUGGAAAGUGAUAAUGGGAUCACUGGAGAAGGCGAAGCAAGUGGUAUAAUCGGAUUUACAAGCAGAAGUGGAAUUGAUCCAGACCGUGUUGCACUAAGAGAAGCUGCUUUAAACAAAUUCCGCCAGAAGAGGAAAGAGAGAUGCUUUGAGAAAAAGGUCCGAUACCAGAGCAGGAAGAAACUGGCAGAACAGAGACCACGUGUUCGGGGGCAAUUUGUUCGACAGGUGGUGCACGAAAACAAAAGCAAGCAUACACAUUGCUAACCCGAUUUGUCCCUGAUAGUACGUAUAGAAUCUUGUACAUGUAAUAGGCACUAGCUGUGUUCAGGAGAGGAAGCAUUCAGAUUUCAUCUUGCUGGAUGUGGGCAUGUGGUGGAAAGUUACCAAUGUGGUGAUCAAAGAUCAAAUGGAUUGUGUGUGGGGACUCGACAGAAACACCCAAGACCUUAGACUCUGUUUUAUUGUUAUGCACUAGUGUGCUAGUAUUAGUACUACUACUACUACUCAAAAGGUGGUAACCCUUGAAAGGGUAGACCUCCUCUAAAGAAACUCUUCAACUCGGUUUGCUAUUGUAUUUUAAGACUUUUUUACAUGAGUGGAUGCUUGAAGAAACUCCAAUUUUUAUGUAAACCUUCUUCGCUCUUAUUUUGAA